UACGGGAGGCAGCAGUGAGGAAUAUUGGUCAAUGGGCGGAAGCCUGAACCAGCCAAGUAGCGUGAAGGAAGACUGCCCUACGGGUUGUAAACUUCUUUUAUCCGGGAAUAAAGUGCGCCACGCGUGGCGUUUUGUAUGUACCGGAUGAAUAAGCACCGGCUAAUUCCGUGCCAGCAGCCGCGGUAAU
rnacentral:rRNA from 1 species